AUUGAACGCUGGCGGCAUGCCUUACACAUGCAAGUCGAACGGUAACGGGUCCUUCGGGAUGCCGACGAGUGGCGAACGGGUGAGUAAUAUAUCGGAACGUGCCCAGUAGUGGGGGAUAACUGCUCGAAAGAGCAGCUAAUACCGCAUACGACCUGAGGGUGAAAGGGGGGGAUCGCAAGACCUCUCGCUAUUGGAGCGGCCGAUAUCAGAUUAGCUAGUUGGUGGGGUAAAGGCCUACCAAGGCAACGAUCUGUAGUUGGUCUGAGAGGACGACCAGCCACACUGGGACUGAGACACGGCCCAGACUCCGACGGGAGGCAGCAGUGGGGAAUUUUGGACAAUGGGCGCAAGCCAGAUCCAGCAAUGCCGCGUGCAGGAAGAAGGCCUUCGGGUUGUAAACUGCUUUUGUCAGGGAAGAAAUCUUCUGGGCUAAUACCCCGGGAGGAUGACGGUACCUGAAGAAUAAGCACCGGCUAACUACGUGCCAGCCGCCGCAGUAA
rnacentral:rRNA from 1 species